rnacentral:rRNA from 1 species
GAUGAACGCUGGCGGCGUGCCUAAUACAUGCAAGUCGAGCGAACAGAUGAGGAGCUUGCUCCUCUGACGUUAGCGGCGGACGGGUGAGUAACACGUGGAUAACCUACCUAUAAGACUGGGAUAACUUCGGGAAACCGGAGCUAAUACCGGAUAAUAUAUUGAACCGCAUGGUUCAAUAGUGAAAGACGGUUUUGCUGUCACUUAUAGAUGGAUCCGCGCCGCAUUAGCUAGUUGGUAAGGUAACGGCUUACCAAGGCAACGAUGCGUAGCCGACCUGAGAGGGUGAUCGGCCACACUGGAUCUGAGACACGGUCCAGACUCCUACGGGAGGCAGCAAUAGGGAAUCUUCCGCAAUGGGCGAAAGCCCGACGGAGCAACGCCGCGUGAGUGAUGAAGGUCUUCGGAUCGUAAAACUCUGUUAUUAGGGAAGAACAAAUGUGUAAGUAACUAUGCACGUCUUGACGGUACCUAAUCAGAAAGCCACGGCUAACUACGUG